GCAAAAGGAAAAGGGUAGAGAAGAGGAGAAAGGAGGGGGAGAAGAGAGAAAAAGGGAGAGAGGAAGAUAGAAAUUGGGGGAGAAAUCAGUUAAUUUCAUAUAUCAAAGCUUAUGAAUUAGGUCGCAUAAGACGCUUUUAUAUAGGGUUUCAAAAGAUCCUAAAAUAUAAAGAAUAUAAUCAAACCCUAAUAAUGUUUCCUAAAAUACGCAUUAAAAUUAGAAACUGGAUAUAAUAAUAUCCCUUCUAAUUUUUCGUCGCAAAUGGCUCAUAAAGCAUAAGUUUUGAGGCUCUUAUGAAGGCCUCGCAUGAGGCAUGCUCAAGGCAUAAGCCGCGGCGCUUUUGAAAACAAUGAUCUCACUAUCACUAAGCUCUUUUCACUUCUCCACUCUUACCCACUUUCUGUCCCUUUUUUUUUCCUUUAAUAAAUAUCUAGGUUGUUUGUGAUUUGGGGGCUCUAUCCAAUAAUCUGAUAAGACACAUGCAAGUUGGCUGAAAAUAAUGUUUUACAGUUCAGAUUUAUAAUCAAAAUAAGGAGUUGUUUGCAUUCUGUUCCCUAGGUUUUUUGCUAUGAUUUUGUACACGCCUCGAGUCUCACUUGGCUUCUGUCGGUGGUAUAAUGCAGUUCCAACGCAGGAAUCGGAUCUACAAGGAGGAGCAGCGCCAACUGAGAGCAGCUGCACAGAAGGCCAAGGGAGGUGGAGAUGAUGGUCAACACUGAUAAUCAUUACUGGUGAUCUUUUUUUAAUCGGUUGGAAGAUGGAAGGAAAUUAAUCAAUUUUCUUGAGAACUUGUUGAAAAUAAAGAAAUAAAUGAACUGUAUUAUGUGUUCUGGAACGAUGAAAACAUGAACGUAAAUGUAUUUCUUGGUGCAAAAAAGGGGGUAAAUUUGUUUUCUUUGUGUUGAGACACUUUGCUUCUUGCUAGUUUCCUCUUGCACUUUGGCAUUAUAUUCAAUUCUUUGAUUGUUCUUCACUGUUUUUAUCAUUUGCUUUUGUUAUUUCGUUUUGCUAAAGCAGUUUGUCAAGGAUGAAAAUCUCCUCCCCUUGCACACUUGAGAUUGGAAUCUAUGAAUGGCCUACAUUUGCAUGCUAAGAGAGAGUGGCUUUCUUCUUAGUUUUCUUGUUG
rnacentral:lncRNA from 1 species